UGAAGGCCAUCUCACUGUGACCUACUUCCUACAGCUAAGCCCCACCCCCGAAGGUUCCACAACUGACCUGCAAACAGCAACACCAUCUGGCAAUCAAGAGUUUAAACAAUUUCUUCUAAAAAUGCAAGUAGGGUUAAAGGCACGUCCUUGUCUUACUCCCUUGGCCUUGCCUUUCAUGCCCCAUGCGGUGGAUGCCUUUCCACACUUACCAGAGACCACCCAUUCAUACGCCACAGCUGCAAAGAAUUCUAUUGGACAG
rnacentral:lncRNA from 1 species